rnacentral:rRNA from 1 species
CUAUGCGCCUUGCCAGCCCGCUCAGUCAGAGUUUGAUCCUGGCUCAGAGCGAACGUUAGCGGCGGGCUUAACACAUGCAAGUCGAACGCGAAAGUUCCUUCGGGGAUGAGUAGAGUGGCGCACGGGUGAGUAACACGUAGGCAAUCUACCCUUGAGCGGGGGACAACUGCCCGAAAGGGCAGCUAAUACCGCAUAAGACCACGGCGGCUCCGGCCGCAGUGGGAAAAGCUGGCCUCUGCUUGCAAGCUAGCGCUUGAGGAUGAACCUGCGUAUCAUCAGCUAGUUGGUGGGGUAAUGGCCUACCAAGGCGAAGACGAUUAGCUGGUCUGAGAGGAUGAUCAGCCACACUGGCACUGGAACACGGGCCAG